UACGUAGGGAGCGAGCGUUGUCCGGAAUUACUGGGUGUAAAGGGUGCGCAGGCGGGACUGCAAGUUGGAUGUGAAAUACCGGGGCUUAACCCCGGGGCUGCAUCCAAAACUGUAGUUCUUGAGUGAAGUAGAGGCAGGCGGAAUUCCGAGUGUAGCGGUGAAAUGCGUAGAUAUUCGGAGGAACACCAGUGGCGAAGGCGGCCUGCUGGGCUUUAACUGACGCUGAGGCACGAAAGCAUGGGUAGCAAACAGGAUUAGAUACCCUGGUAGUCCAUGCCGUAAACGAUGAUUGCUAGGUGUGGGAGGUCUGACCCCUUCCGUGCCGGAGUUAACACAAUAAGCAAUCCACCUGGGGAGUACGGCCGCAAGGCUAAA
rnacentral:rRNA from 1 species